GAAACUGACCAGGAGCAGCAGCAGCAAGGCUGGCCCAGCCGUGGAAAAGACCGUCCGAAUCGUCAGCCCCAGUGCCCCCAGCCCUAGAACGCUGUCGAGGAGCUGGGCCAGAAAGCUGCCGGAGGAUGUGCUUCAGCAAAAUCAGGCAUUAAACCGCAAGGACAAUACGAGACUAAAGAAAUGAGGCUAAGUACAGGAAAGCAAUGAUGAGAAAGGCUCAGGAUGUCAGCUGUGCUUCCCAGUGAAGAAAGCAAACAACUCAGCCUGGACUCAAAAGCAAGAUGCUCCAGGAGGGAUGUCUCCAGAAGAAAAUGAGAUUGAUUAUCUGCGGUUUUUAGAUAUGCUAAAAAUAAAUGUUCAGUUCCGCUGGUUGCUUUGGGAUUAAAUUAUCCAUUGGUGCCCAGAAAACCAAGCAGAUGAUAAAACAAAGUAAUCACUAACUCCAGGGAACACAAAAAGUUGAACAGUAAUAUUUACAUGGCCACAAGAUGAGGAAACAGAGGCUCAGAGAGCGAGGGACUGUCCAAGGAUACCCACACAAAAUAAUACAGCAGAGGCGGGUGUGAAAUUAAGCCUGUGCGGUACCAAAGUCAGCUCUCCUCUCCACCUCCAGCCACCUGACCACCCUGGGGAGCCGGCAGGAGUGGAGCACCUCAGUGCAAACCCUGGAGCUGCGCCUCCAGAACCUGCUUCCAGGUACCCAAGUGGCAAGGGCCGAAGGCAACAGCCGAGCUGGGAGCAGAUGCGAGGCGAUGAGGAACUAAUGAAGGAGCAUAGAAGGUUCUGAGGGGUUCGGGGGGGGGGAUGGAGGGACACGAAGGGGCCCUGAAGGUUGUUACAGGGCAGAAAGGCAAGGGGUAAGAGGUGAAAAUAAGGAUGAGGGGGCACAGGGGACACAAUAGGUAUCAGCACCCCACAGAUCCGAGCCUCUGAGGGAUCAGCCAGGGGU